AUCGAACGCUGGCGGCAGGCCUAACACAUGCAAGUCGAGCGGAUGAGGGGAGCAUGCUUCUGGACUCAACGGCGGACGGACGAGUAAUUCCUAGGAAUCUGCCUGGUAGUUGGGGAUAACGUCCGGAAACGGGCGCUAAUACCGCAUACGUUCUGAGCUAUAAAGACAGGGAUUUUCUGAGCUCACGCUAUUAGCUUAACCUAGGUCGGAUUAGCUAGUUGGUUGGCUAAAGGCCUACCAAGAGGACUAUCAGUAACUUGUCAGAGAGGAUGACUAGUCACACUGGAACUGAGACACGGUCCAGACUCCUACGGGAGGCAGCAGAGGGGAAUUUUGGACAAUGGGCGAAAGCCUGAUCCAGAAAGGCCGCGUGUGUGAAGAAGGUCUUCGGAUGUAAAAGCCCGUUAAGUUGGGAGGAAGGGGAGUAAGGUAAUACCCUGCUCAAUUGACGUUAACAACAGAGUAAGCACCGGCUAACUUCGUG
rnacentral:rRNA from 1 species